rnacentral:lncRNA from 1 species
CCCUCGUGGAGGGAACAUUCCAGAAGUGCACCAUAGGGUCAAAGAGCCCAGAUGUACUUCCCUGGGGUGCUGGGAGCCAAGGCAUGGAACUGCAGUCGCCUCCCAAGUUCAGGGCCCUGGGUGGAGCUGCUGGCUGCAGCCAGGGCCAGGGAGCAGAGAUGCCCCUCUGCCACCCUGCCCCACCCCAGGCAAUGAAGAAACUCCAAGCUCUGGGUCCGUGGGAGGCACCAGGCAAACAGAGGAGUCAGCAAGCUAAACAUGCUAUUAGCAGCGAUGGAGAAGUGAUGAUUCUCUGCACAGCUGUCAGAAGCAGCUCCCCGCCGCCUGGCACCAGCACCUGGGGAGGGGCCUCCGCUCAUCGGCCUUCACAGAGAUGCCCCAGGCUGGGAAAGAAAGACCAGCAGGCCGGACAUUCUGUGCCACCACUCCCUCGUCCUUAGCUGCAGGGAUCUUGCCCUUCAUCCAGAGACUGAGACCUGGAAGCGAGGCCCACCUCUGCACCUGCCCCCAUAGCUGGGCCUUCGUUCCUCAAACUAAUGAAAUUGAGGCUCAAGAGGUUACACGAUUUGACCAAGUCACACAACUGCAAACAAGUAGGUGUCAGUUUCCAGGAUCGAAGCCAGGAGGAAGCUCAAAGAGCAUCCAGCCCCCAUGCUGUAAAAGGGAUUCAAGGCCCAGAACCAGAAGGUGAUUAGCCUUGCAGCAGGACAGAGGGCAGACAGCACCGAAGCCCAGCUCUGCUCACUCUGCUGGGAGCACUUCCCAGGCCACUGUGGAUCUGGGCCUUGUCCUCAGCUUGGGGUGGCUGCAGGAGCAUCCUGAGGAAUGAACCCAUGCCAGAGCACUGAAGAUGCCCCCACCGCCCCCGCUGCAGACUCCUCACCCAGGUCUCUUCAUCUCAAAGGGGCUGUCAUAGAGGCCCAGGGCUGUGACCUGGAGGAACACACUCCACCUUCCUGACAUCCAGCCCGUCUAUCAUUCUAAUAGUGGAAAGGUGGGUUCCAGAGCCUGCUCAAGACACAGUGUGCAGAGCAGGGAAGGAGCCUGCCCAGGCACAAGGCAGGGGCCCCUCUCAAAGCCUCAUGCGCUGCCUGGGGCCCUUGACAACCUGAGGCCUUCCAGGAUGCUUUGAAUUCAGUCUUCUUGGCCCUGCUGCUGCCCCACUUGACAGAAGAGAGAUGGAUGGGGAGGUGAGAGGCACUGCCCGCCUAACCACCCACCACCUGUCACUUCUGCCUUUUGAAAUCACUUUCGUGGGCAGAGGCAGGGAUGCUGAUCACACCAUGUGGGAGGGACUUGGAGGGUGGGGCGGUGACUCACAGGACAGUGGGGGAUAGGAAGCAGCUCCAGAGCCUCCCUGGUAGUGAAAGGGAAGGGCGCUAGUGACUCAGGGACAGCUGGGGAGGGGUGCAUGGGGAGGGAGCUCAUUCCCCCCAGCUCUGUGCCCUGCAUGCCUGGGGGGUGACCUCCUGUGGUGGGCCCCGAUCUUGCCCCUGUGGGGCAGUCUUUGCCCUCAGCUUGCUUCCCAGCAGUAGCCAGGCACCCAGUAGCUGCAUGGUGAGUGAAUUCCAAUCUUGCCCGCUGCCGGCCAGCUGUGCAGACCUUCGGCAGGCUGAGUGCUCCUCUGCCCUCACAUCUAGGCCUGUAGAUGGAAGCAGAGCCCGACUCAUAGAGCCAAUUGCCCAUCCUGCAGCUGUGAAUGUUGCAGCUUCCAGCAGGUUCUUGCUGCAGACUUACUGAGAGGACUGAGGGCUGUGGCAGGCCACCCCAGCCUGCUGGGCACCCCCUUCAGGAUGGCCCCAACAAAUAGUAAAUAAAUGCCCCACUC